rnacentral:rRNA from 1 species
UACGGAGGGGCAAGCGUUGUUCGGAAUUACUGGGCGUAAAGGGCGCGCAGGCGGCUGCUCAAGUCAGGCGUGAAAGGCCUGGGCUCAACCCGGGAAUUGCGCUUGAGACUGGGCUGGCUUGAGUGCGGGAGAGGAUGGUGGAAUUCCCAGUGUAGAGGUGAAAUUCGUAGAUAUUGGGAAGAACACCGGUGGCGAAGGCGGCUCUCUGGACCGAGACUGACGCUGAGGCGCGAAAGCGUGGGGAGCAAACAGGG